rnacentral:lncRNA from 1 species
UAAGAUCUUAGAAAGUACAUAUUGUAACAUACCAGAUUUUGAUAUAAAAAUAAAAAUAAAUAAAAAUAGUAUGAAUAUUUUUAUUGGAUUUAUAAAAGUAAAACAUAAGUCGUAAGUGACUUGUGCUGAAAUCGGAAUGAAAACAGAAAAUCUAGAAUUUUCUGUUGGAAAUGGGACAGAUAAAUUAGCAGAAAAUACACAGUCUCAGAAAAUUAUGAAAAUUGGAGGAUAAGUCAGAAAUAUUUUUGUGAGGCUAGAUUUAAAGUUUCAUAUUUUUCUGACACCCGUAGAGUGAGAAAUAAAAUCCGACAGCUAUCUGAUAAAGAUUACAGUUCGGUACAGUUUUCGGUGACCAAAUGGGGUCGAAACUAAAAAGUUAAAAUAUAUUCUUACUCAGUACGUUAAACUGAGCCUGCCUGUCAAAUUUGAGCUCAAACGGACAUUCAGAAGGGCUCCAACUAUUCCGAACUGCUAAACUGCCCUGGAGUGAAUAGUGUUUUGGGUGUUAAUGUAUAUAAGAAGCAAUGUGCUUCUUC